rnacentral:rRNA from 1 species
CCUACGGGUGGCAGCAGUAGGGAAUCUUCCGCAAUGGGCGAAAGCCUGACGGAGCAACGCCGCGUGAGUGAUGAAGGUCUUCGGAUCGUAAAACUCUGUUAUUAGGGAAGAACAAAUGUGUAAGUAACUAUGCACGUCUUGACGGUACCUAAUCAGAAAGCCACGGCUAACUACGUGCCAGCAGCCGCGGUAAUACGUAGGUGGCAAGCGUUAUCCGGAAUUAUUGGGCGUAAAGCGCGCGUAGGCGGUUCCUUAAGUCUGAUGUGAAAGCCCACGGCUCAACCGUGGAGGGUCAUUGGAAACUGGAAAACUUGAGUGCAGAAGAGGAAAGUGGAAUUCCAUGUGUAGCGGAGAAAUGCGCAGAGAUAUGGAGGAACACCAGUGGCGAAGGCGACUUUCUGGUCUGUAACUGACGCUGAUGUGCGAAAGCGUGGGGAACAAACAGGAUUAGAUACCCCUGUAGUC